rnacentral:rRNA from 1 species
GUAGGUGGCAAGCGUUGUCCGGAAUUAUUGGGCGUAAAGCGCGCGCAGGCGGUUCUUUAAGUCUGAUGUGAAAGCCCACGGCUCAACCGUGGAGGGUCAUUGGAAACUGGAGAACUUGAGUACAGAAGAGGAAAGCGGAAUUCCACGUGUAGCGGUGAAAUGCGUAGAGAUGUGGAGGAACACCAGUGGCGAAGGCGGCUUUCUGGUCUGUAACUGACGCUGAGGCGCGAAAGCGUGGGGGAGCAAACAGGAUUAGAUACCCUGGUAGUCCACGCCGUAGACGAUGAGUGCUAAGUGUUAGGGGGUUUCCGCCCCCCCCCUUAGUGCUGCAGCUAACGCAUUAAGCACUCCGCCUGGGAGUACGGCCGCAAGGCUG